rnacentral:rRNA from 1 species
UCAAACAAAAGCCGUAUUUUGUGGAUGCCUUAGGUUCAUAUGCACAAUGGGCGCUUUACGAUGCGAAACGUUGUAUCUGAGACAUCAUUCUGAUAGGUACAAAUCCCCACAGCGGUAAACCGCAAUAUUUUGACACGAGGAGAACUGAAACAUCUAAAUAUCCUCUAGGAAAAGAAAUCAACCGAGAUUCCGUUAGUAUUGGCGAAAGAACGCGGACAAGGCAUAUGAUUAUGAAAUUGAAAAACAUGUUGGAAUACAUAGACCAAAGAAGGUAAAAGUCCUGUAUUAUGCCUUUCAUAAUCAUCAAGAGUAGAACGUUAGACUGUUUGAAAAUAGGAGAACCACCUUCUAAGCCUACAUAUGCAUAUGAGACCGAUAGUGAACAAGUACUGUGAAGGAAAGGUGAAAAGAACCCUCUUGUAUAGGGAGUGAAAAGAUCUGAAACAAAAUACAUACAAUCAAUCGAUAUAUUAAAAAAAUGUAUCGGUGUACCUUUUGCAUAAUGGGUCAGCGACUAAAUGUGUGCAGCUUGCUUAAGCAACGAUGUGGAGGCAAAGCAAAAGCUAGUAGGUUUUCCUGCGUUUGUUGCAUGCAUUUGACCCGAAACUAAGUGAUCUCGUUUUGAGCAGGUUGAAGAAAGCGUAAAGUCUUUUGGAGGACCGAACCGACGUCUGUAGCAAUAGGCGCGGAUGACUUGAUACGAGGGGUGAAAGGCCAAUCAAACUUAGAAAUAGCUGGUUCUUCGCGAAAUUUAUUGAGGUAAAGCGUCUAUUAAAUCUUUCUGGGGGUAGAGCACUUAUUGAGCUAUGGGGGUCCAAAACCUUACUGCUCUCAAGAAAACUCCGAAUACCAGUAAAGUAUAAUAGGCAGACAGACAAGCGGUGCUAAGGUCGCUUGUCGAAAGGGAAACAGCCCAGCCUGGCCGCUAAGGUCCCAAAGCAUUCUGUGAGUGGGAAAAGAUGUGAUACAACUAUGACAACUAGGAGGUUGGCUUGGAAGCAGCCAUUCUAUCAUGAAAGCGUAAUAGCUCACUAGUCGAGUUGUGUUGCGCUGAAAAUGUAUCGGGGCUGAACAGAAUCACCGAAGCGCCAGUUUUUAAGUAGCGAAGCGUUUUGUGCGCCAAUGAACAUACAUCGUAAGAUUUGUGGAAGGUCUCAAAAGUGACUAUGCUGACAUGAGUAACGAAAAAUCAUGUAAAGCCAUGAUCGCCGUAAGUCCAAGGGUUUCUGCUAACUGGGAAUCAGUGCAGAGUUAAGUUCGGUCCCUAAGAGUUUGUAUACACUUAUACGCUCGAUGGAGGACGUUUAUGCAAGACGGCUAUUAUACACAAAUACUGCAAAUUGGAUACGGUGUAUGUGUGUUGUAGUCCAGGAAAAAAGCAUUAAUGCAAGACCGUACCCGAAACCGACACAGGUGGACGAGUCGAGUAGACUCAGGCGUUGAGUGAACCAUAUUGAAGGAACUCGGCAAAAUAAUCCCGUAACUUAGGAAGAAGGGAUACCGAAAGGUGACACAAAAAUGGGGGUGACGACUUUUUACUAAAAAAUUAGGACUCUGCAAAAUGGUAACAUGCUGUAUAGGGUCUGACGUCUGCCCGGUGCUAGAAGUCUAAAAGGCGCAUUGCAAGAUGCAAAUGGAAAGCCUAGUAAACGGCGGUUGUAACUAUAACAAUCAUAAAGUAGCGAAAUUCAUUGCCAGCUAAUUCCUGGCCUGCAUGAAAGACGUAACGAUUGCCCCACUGUCUCCAGUAUGGACUCAGUGAAAUUGAAUUCUCCGUGCAGAUGCGGAGUACGUGCCCCAAGACGAGAAGACCCUGUGCAUCUUUAC